GCCCCCUUAGCUCAGGGGAUAGAGCACCGGCCUCCGGAGCCGGGUGCGCAGGUUCGAAUCCUGCAGGGGGCA
rfam:Microbispora sp. ATCC PTA-5024 genomic scaffold scaffold00003, whole genome shotgun sequence.